GCCAGGCAUGGUGGUGCAUGCCUGUAAUCCUAGCAGCUCAGGAGGCUGAGGCAGGAGGAUCAUAAGUUCAAAUCCAGCCUCAGCAAUUUAGCAAGGCCCUAAACAACUUAAGAAGAUCCUGUCUCAA
rnacentral:sRNA from 1 species